rnacentral:rRNA from 1 species
UAGGAGACUGCCGGUGACAAACCGGAGGAAGGUGGGGAUGACGUCAAGUCCUCAUGGCCCUUAUGGGUAGGGCUUCACACGUCAUACAAUGGUCGGUACAGAGGGUUGCCAAGCCGCGAGGUGGAGCCAAUCCCACAAAGCCGAUCGUAGUCCGGAUUGUUCUCUGCAACUCGAGAGCAUGAAGUCGGAAUCGCUAGUAAUCGCAGGUCAGCAUACUGCGGUGAAUACGUUCCCGGGUCUU